rnacentral:rRNA from 1 species
UACGUAGGGUGCGAGCGUUAAUCGGAAUUACUGGGCGUAAAGCGUGCGCAGGCGGUUAUUUAAGACAGGUGUGAAAUCCCCGGGCUUAACCUGGGAAUUGCGCUUGUGACUGGAUAGCUAGAGUGCGGCAGAGGGGGGUGGAAUUCCACGUGUAGCAGUGAAAUGCGUAGAGAUGUGGAGGAACACCGAUGGCGAAGGCAGCCCCCUGGGCCAGCACUGACGCUCAUGCACGAAAGCGUGGGGAGCAAAC